GGGAGAAAUGGGGACACUGAGACAUUUGGGGACACUGGGAGGCAUGGGGAGACUGAGACACCAGGGACACUGGCUGGGAGACAUGGGGACACUGUGUUUCCAGUGUCUCAUUGUCCCCAUGUCUCCCAGUGUCCCCAAGUGUCUCUGUGUCCUCAAGUGUCUCU